rnacentral:rRNA from 1 species
AUGAACGCUGGCGGCGUGCCUAAUACAUGCAAGUCGAGCGAACGGACGAGAAGCUUGCUUCUCUGAUGUUAGCGGCGGACGGGUGAGUAACACGUGGAUAACCUACCUAUAAGACUGGGAUAACUUCGGGAAACCGGAGCUAAUACCGGAUAAUAUUUUGAACCGCAUGGUUCAAAAGUGAAAGACGGUCUUGCUGUCACUUAUAGAUGGAUCCGCGCUGCAUUAGCUAGUUGGUAAGGUAACGGCUUACCAAGGCAACGAUGCAUGGCCGACCUGAGAGGGUGAUCGGCCACACUGGAACUGAGACACGGUCCAGACUCCUACGGGAGGCAGCAGUAGGGAAUCUUCCGCAAUGGGCGAAAGCCUGACGGAGCAACGCCGCGUGAGUGAUGAAGGUCUUCGGAUCGUAAAACUCUGUUAUUAGGGAAGAACAUAUGUGUAAGUAACUGUGCACAUCUUGACGGUACCUAAUCAGAAAGCCACGGCUAACUACGUG